UACACAUGCAAGUCGAGCGGAAGGCCCUUCGGGGUACUCGAGCGGCGAACGGGUGAGUAACACGUGAGCAACCUGCCCCAAGCUUUGGGAUAACCCUCGGAAACGGGGGCUAAUACCGAAUAUUACUUCUGGCCGCAUGGCUGGUGGUGGAAAGUUUUUCGGCUUGGGAUGGGCUCGCGGCCUAUCAGCUUGUUGGUGGGGUGAUGGCCUACCAAGGCGACGACGGGUAGCCGGCCUGAGAGGGCGACCGGCCACACUGGGACUGAGACACGGCCCAGACUCCUACGGGAGGCAGCAGUGGGGAAUAUUGCACAAUGGGCGGAAGCCUGAUGCAGCGACGCCGCGUGAGGGAUGACGGCCUUCGGGUUGUAAACCUCUUUCAGCAGGGACGAAGCGAAAGUGACGGUACCUGCAGAAGAAGCGCCGGCCAACUACGUGCCAGCAGCCGCGGUAAGACGUAGGGCGCGAGCGUUGUCCGGAUUUAUUGGGCGUAAAGAGCUCGUAGGCGGCUUGUCGCGUCGACCGUGAAAACUUGGGGCUCAACCCCAAGCCUGCGGUCGAUACGGGCAGGCUAGAGUUCGGUAGGGGAGACUGGAAUUCCUGGUGUAGCGGUGAAAUGCGCAGAUAUCAGGAGGAACACCGGUGGCGAAGGCGGGUCUCUGGGCCGAUACUGACGCUGAGGAGCGAAAGCGUGGGGAGCGAACAGGAUUAGAUACCCUGGUAGUCCACGCUGU
rnacentral:rRNA from 1 species